CAAUAGCGCCACAGAGUUUCUAAACCCAGAGGCACAACAUCGAGAGACUUUCGGGAACGCUUGUGAAGCAGACCAAGCAAACCAGACCGGGGGUUUGAGAAGUAAAUGACCCUAUGAGAGAAGGCCUUUGAGAGGAAGCCACAGUAUGUCCUCAAGGUGAAGAGGUGUUGAAGAGGCCCCCCAGGGGAGAAGUCUUCACAGGCGAACAUGAUUACGUCGCUUGGUUUUCGUGGUAACAGGAACUGCAAGAAGUCGGCCAUCAUGGAGCGGAAAUCCAGGUGCUGCCACAGGUAGGAAGUAGCAGUGCCAACACUGAGGGAGUUCUAUUAACCUGAGCUGCCGUGCACCCAGCUAUGGUCAGUGACGUGAACGGUAAAAAGCGGUGAGGGAAGAGCGCCCUUCUCAAUUGGAACAGUAAUCUGCGCCACUCAGUCAUGUUGUUAACAAAGCAGCAUGGUGCAUCAUUCAGAAACAUACAUCUAUU
rnacentral:lncRNA from 1 species